rnacentral:lncRNA from 1 species
GAAAAGGUGGAUUUCAGAUACAACCUGGAAUGUUAUUGAAAAGAGAAGAUCUACAAAAAGUAAGUACAAUCAGGCAAGAUCAGAAAGGUUGAAAGAAAAGCUACAAAUAGAAUACUCAGAACUUAAUAAAGAAGUUAAGAAAAAAGCUCGAAAAGACAAAUUACAAUACAUUGAAGGAUUGGCAAAUGAAGCAGAAGAGGCA